AACGAACGCUGGCGGCAGGCUUAACACAUGCAAGUCGAGCGCCCCGCAAGGGGAGCGGCAGACGGGUGAGUGACGCGUGGGAAUCUACCCAUCACUACGGAACAACUCCGGGAAACUGGAUCUAAUACCGUAUACUUCCUUCGGGAGAAAGAGUUAUCGGUGAUGGAUUAGCCCGCGGUUGAUUAGCUAGGUGGUCGGGUGAUGGCCCACCAAGGCGACGAUCCAUAGCUGGUCUGAGAGGAUGAUCAGCCACACUGGGACUGAGACACGGCCCAGACUCCUACGGGAGGCAGAAGUGGGGAAUAUUGGACAAUGGGCGCAAGCCUGAUCCAGCCAUGCCGCGUGAGUGAUGAAGGCCCUAGGGUUGUAGAGCUCUUUCACCGGUGAAGAUAAUGACGGUAACCGGAGAAGAAGCCCCGGCUAACUUCGUGCCAGCCGCCGCAGUAA
rnacentral:rRNA from 1 species